rnacentral:tRNA from 1 species
GGGCCCGUAGCUCAGCCUGGUAGAGCGCCUGGCUUUUAACCAGGUGGUCGAGAAACCAGAGUCUCGGGUUGUUCU